GUCAUGAGACAGGCAUCUGACUUUCUAGUGACUAACUUCUGAUUGUUUCCUUGUCACGAGGUAGGCAUCUGACUUUCUGGUUUCUAGGACAAGGUCAUAGAAGCACAUGUUCGGCUGUUAUGUCUGCCGAAAGGGAAGCUGGUUCCUUCAGCCGAGGAAUCCAGAGUCAUGGACUGAAGAGCUACCGGGUUCUCAGCCUCCCAGGUCUGAAGGUGGCCAUUUUUGAACUGCCCAGUUGUUGGAACCCUGAGAAAGGGGCCAGCUACAGAACCCAACCGAGUACCAGCUGUUCUGAUUCAUCUGCCAAGACAUCAAGCAUUGCUGCACCAAAGCAGGAGGUGGCUCUACUCCAUCUGCAUUCCUAGACUGGCCUGGACAUUGCCACCCGCGUGUCCACUGCUGGUCUUGUGGUAGCAGCAGGACCAUUGCUGAGCUGGGGGCAGCUAGUGAGGAGUGGGGCCACACAUGGAGAGGUUUGCUCCGUCCUGCUGUCUCUCUUCCAGUCUAGGUCCACUUUGCUGCCUAUACUUCUUUUCUCUGCAUCCAGUUGAAAUUUUGCAAAGUCAUACGCACAGUCUUGCUUCAUGCUUCCAGGAAUUAAUAAAGGAAAAGACAAACAGACUACGAAAAUUCUAAUUAACUUUGAUAUGGAUUUGUGUGUAAAGUUGGAUGAGUCACUGAUUUUUAAUAAAUGGGAGAGAAAAUCUUAAAGAUUAAUGUAAUAGCUGAGAACACAGGAACCAGAACUUUGAUGCUUGCUUAAUUCUUCCUCCCAACCCAUGCCAUUUGGAGAGAAAAAAAAAAUAUCAAAGACCGCUAUGAAGCAGGGAAGGAAAGGGGAUUAUGCAAAUAAAGUGCAGGUCUCUAAUCAUUACUCC
rnacentral:lncRNA from 1 species